rnacentral:rRNA from 1 species
UUUCCUUCGGAAAAAUGCUGGAUGUCCGUGGUAGGAGAGCGUUCUAAGGGCUGCGAAGCUAGACCGUAAGGACUGGUGGAGCGCUUAGAAGUGAGAAUGCCGGUAUGAGUAGCGAAAGAAGGGUGAGAAUCCCUUCCACCGAAUGCCUAAGGUUUCCUGAGGAAGGCUCGUCCGCUCAGGGUUAGUCGGGACCUAAGCCGAGGCCGAAAGGCGUAGGCGAUGGACAACAGGUUGAUAUUCCUGUACCACCUCUUCACCGUUUGAACGAUGGGGGGACGCAGGAGGAUAGGGUAAGCGCACUGCUGGAAUAGUGCGUCCAAGCAGUUAGAGGGGUGACGAGGCAAAUC